rnacentral:rRNA from 1 species
UAUUGCACAAUGGGGGAAACCCUGAUGCAGCGACGCCGCGUGAGCGAAGAAGUAUUUCGGUAUGUAAACCUCUGUCUUCGGGGACGAAAGAUGACGGUACCCGAGGAGGAAGCCACGGCUAACUACGUGCCAGCAGCCGCGGUAAUACGUAGGUGGCGAGCGUUGUCCGGAAUUACUGGGUGUAAAGGGAGCGUAGGCGGGAAGACAAGUUGGACGUUAAAUUUAUCGGCUUAACCGGUAACCGCGUUCAAAACUGUUUUUCUUGAGUGAAGUAGAGGUUGGCGGAAUUCCUAGUGUAGCGGUGAAAUGCGUAGAUAUUAGGAGGAACACCAGUGGCGAAGGCGGCCAACUGGGCUUUAACUGACGCUGAGGCUCGAAAGCGUGGGGAGCAAACAG